GUGCGAGUAGAUGACGCGCGUUUCUCACCGGGGAGCCGUAGGCUGAGCCCGGCAGUUUGGCAGGCAGCACUCGCUCCGUUCACACCGAAAUGUCACCGAUUGCCACUGAGGACAGACUGGAAUCCGAGGGAACUCUGAGAUGGCAGCCCGAAGCAGUGAUGGAGCAGCUGGUGAGGGGUGCAGCCCUGCAAGCACAGGUGGAAGCGGUGCAUGUGUGGGACCAGAUGGGGCUGAGCCUGGCUCCGCCCCUCCCUCCCCUCAUUUAAGGGCUGGCAGCCCCAGAG